rnacentral:piRNA from 1 species
UUAACGCUUGCAACUGGCACUAGAGA